CAGAGGGUAACUCUGAGAUGAGUUGUUAAUAGCAAGGGAGAAAGACUCCAGGAGAUGGGCCCAAAGGAAUAGGACCAGAAACAGGAAAUCUGCCCGAGCUUGUGGCUUGUGUGGAGAGAGACCAAGAUAAACAUUUUUAUGCCCAUUCUUGUACACAAAUAUUGAGGAUAAUAUACUACAGCUGAUGAAUGCCCACCAUGUGUCUCUCCAUUGUCUUUUGAGGGAUUUUUAUUCUCUCCACACCUAUCAGGGUUGACUAAUAUGACAAAGAAAAAAUGACAAAUGUUGGAGGGUGUGUGGAAAAAU